CUCCUACGGGAGGCAGCAGUGGGGAAUUUUGGACAAUGGGGGCAACCCUGAUCCAGCCAUGCCGCGUGAGUGAAGAAGGCCUUCGGGUUGUAAAGCUCUUUCGGCCGGGAAGAAAUCGUAUGGGUUAAUACCCUGUGCGGAUGACGGUACCGGCAUAAGAAGCACCGGCUAACUACGUGCCAGCAGCCGCGGUAAUACGUAGGGUGCGAGCGUUAAUCGGAAUUACUGGGCGUAAAGCGUGCGCAGGCGGUUUUGUAAGACAGGCGUGAAAUCCCCGGGCUCAACCUGGGAACUGCGCUUGUGACUGCAAGGCUAGAGUAUGGCAGAGGGGGGUGGAAUUCCACGUGUAGCAGUGAAAUGCGUAGAGAUGUGGAGGAACACCAAUGGCGAAGGCAGCCCCCUGGGCCAAUACUGACGCUCAUGCACGAAAGCGUGGGUAGCAAACAGGAUUAGAUACCCUGGUAGUCCACGCCCUAAACGAUGUCAACUAGGUGUUGGGUGGGUAAAACCAUUUAGUACCGUAGCUAACGCGUGAAGU
rnacentral:rRNA from 1 species